ensembl:snoRNA U3 Small nucleolar RNA U3
AAGGCUGUACCUUCAGGGAUCACUUCUAUGGUGCCAUAUCAAAGAUGUUGCUUUUAGUGGGUAGAAACCAGCAGGCGGAGGUGCAGGGUUUUCUCCUGAGUGUGAAGUUGGCUUUUGGUAUUGCUUUGCUGUAACUGUCAUUGGCCAUUGGUGAUCAUUCUUCUCUUGCCCAAGUGGUAGAAACAAAAACAAAAGC